GAAAUGCGAUAAGUAGUGUGAAUUGCAGAAUUCAGUGAAUCAUCGAAUCUUUGAACGCACAUUGCGCCCCUUGGUAUUCCAUGGGGCAUGCCUGUUCGAGCGUCAUUUGUACCCUCAAGCUCUGCUUGGUGUUGGGUGUUUGUCCCCGUCUCCGCGUGUGGACUCGCCCCAAAGUGAUUGGCAGCCGGCGUACUGGUCCCGGAGCGCAGCACAUGUCGCGCAAACGAGUGCCUUGGUACGGCGGCGUCCAUAAGCCCCUCUCUCACGCUCUUGACCUCGGAUCAGGUAGAGAUACCCGCUGAACUUAGGC
rnacentral:misc_RNA from 1 species